rnacentral:rRNA from 1 species
UGGGGAAUUUUGGACAAUGGGCGAAAGCCUGAUCCAGCAAUGCCGCGUGUGUGAAGAAGGCCUUCGGGUUGUAAAGCACUUUUGUCCGGAAAGAAAUCCUUGGCUCUAAUACAGUCGGGGGAUGACGGUACCGGAAGAAUAAGCACCGGCUAACUACGUGCCAGCAGCCGCGGUAAUACGUAGGGUGCAAGCGUUAAUCGGAAUUACUGGGCGUAAAGCGUGCGCAGGCGGUUUGCUAAGACCGAUGUGAAAUCCCCGGGCUCAACCUGGGAACUGCAUUGGUGACUGGCAGGCUAGAGUAUGGCAGAGGGGGGUAGAAUUCCACGUGUAGCAGUGAAAUGCGUAGAGAUGUGGAGGAAUACCGAUGGCGAAGGCAGCCCCCUGGGCCAAUACUGACGCUCAUGCACGAAAGCGUGGGGGAGCAAACAGGAUUAGAUACCCUGGUAGUCCACGCCCUAAACGAUGUCAACUAGUUGUUGGGGAUUCAUUUCCUUAGUAACGUAGCUAACGCGUGAAGUUGACCGCCUGGGGAGUACGGUCGCAAGAUUAAACUCAA